rnacentral:rRNA from 1 species
UACGAAGGGGGCUAGCGUUGCUCGGAAUGACUGGGCGUAAAGGGCGCGUAGGCGGUUCGUACAGUCAGACGUGAAAUUCCCGGGCUCAACCUGGGGCUGCGUUUGAUACGUACGGGCUUGAGUUCGGAAGAGGGUCGUGGAAGUUCCCAGUGUAGAGGUGAAAUGCGCAGAUAUCAGGAGGAACACCGGUGGCGAAGGCG